UAGAUCCUGAAGCUGAUGGUGACAGAGAGAAGAGCCAGGAUGAGUCAAGAAAUAAUUUUGGCCAAAAGUGGCUCACACCUAUAACCUCAGCGCUUUAGGAGGCCAAGGUGGGAGGAUCACUUGAGGCCAGGAGUUCGAGACCAGCCCGAGCAACAUGAGACCCCAUUUCUACAAAAAAUUUUUAAAAAUUAAUAAAGUAUGAUAGUGCGUGCCUGUAGUCCCUAGAUGCCUGCCUGUAGUCCUAGCUACUUGGCUGAGGCAGGAGGAUCGCUGAAGCCCAGGAGUUUGAGAUUACAAUGAACUAUGAUCAUGCUACUGCACUUCAGUCUGGGUGACUGAGCAAGACCCUGUUUCCAAAAAAAUAAAAAAUAAUUUUGUUGAACUUUCCAGGAACCAAAUUUUGGCUUUGUUAAUUUU
rnacentral:lncRNA from 10 species